rnacentral:misc_RNA from 1 species
GAUGAAGAACGUAGUGAAAUGCGAUAAGUAAUGUGAAUUGCAGAAUUCAGUGAAUCAUCGAAUCUUUGAACGCACAUUGCGCCCGCCAGUAUUCUGGCGGGCAUGCCUGUCUGAGCGUCAUUUCAACCCUCAUGCCCCUAGGGCGUGGUGUUGGGGAUCGGCCAAAGCCCGCGAGGGACGGCCGGCCCCUAAAUCUAGUGGCGGACCCGUCGUGGCCUCCUCUGCGAAGUAGUGAUAUUCCGCAUCGGAGAGCGAUGAGCCCCUGCCGUUAAACCCCCAACUUUCCAAGGUUGACCCCAGAUCAGGUAGGAAUACCCGCUGAACUUAAGCAUAUCAAUAAGCGGAGGA